rnacentral:rRNA from 1 species
UACGAAGGGGGCUAGCGUUGUUCGGAAUUACUGGGCGUAAAGCGCACGUAGGCGGAUAUUUAAGUCAGGGGUGAAAUCCCCAGAGCUCAACUCUGGAACUGCCUUUGAUACUGGGUAUCUUGAGUAUGGAAGAGGUAAGUGGAAUUCCGAGUGUAGAGGUGAAAUUCGUAGAUAUUCGGAGGAACACCAGUGGCGAAGGCGGCUUACUGGUCCAUUACUGACGCUGAGGUGCGAAAGCGUGGGGAGCAAACAGGAUUAGAUACCCGCGUAGU